rnacentral:snoRNA from 15 species
AUCUUCUGGUUUCCUUUCCCAUCUUAUCUGAACCCUGGUCUGGGUGGUCAUAAAAGGAGGAAAAGUAACUUUAAACUGACCUCACAGGGCUUUGUAGCAUGUUGGUUAGUUUCAAUCAGGU